UACGUAGGGUGCAAGCGUUAAUCGGAAUUACUGGGCGUAAAGCGUGCGCAGGCGGUGAUGUAAGACAGUUGUGAAAUCCCCGGGCUCAACCUGGGAACUGCAUCUGUGACUGCAUCGCUGGAGUGCGGCAGAGGGGGAUGGAAUUCCGCGUGUAGCAGUGAAAUGCGUAGAUAUGCGGAGGAACACCGAUGGCGAAGGCAAUCCCCUGGGCCUGCACUGACGCUCAUGCACGAAAGCGUGGGAG
rnacentral:rRNA from 1 species